CAAUAUCCCUUUCUUGGUUUUCCUUGGAUAGGUUUUAACAAGAUAGAACUCUAGAUCCCUUGGGUCCAAAGACGCUAGAUUAUAAAAUCCUGAUGUGACUUGAUACUACAAAUAGAAUAUGUCUUAUGAUUUAAUACUACAAAUAAAAUGUCUUUUAAGUACAAACUUCAAUGAAUUGAUAAAGUGUAAGGAUAGUGUUUAAAGUUGCUUCAUGUGUAGAAGCUGAAUUACUUUAGUUUAUACACUGUAAUGUCGAGAUCACAUGUUGAUAUGACUUAAUACCAGCAACUUGCAAUAAGUGGUCUGUUCUGCUUGUUUAUAAUACUUUAGAGUUUGGACAUUAGAACAUUGUAAUUGCCUGACAGAGAUUGUUAGGGCCUGUUUGUAUGGAAGCCAGGCUGGCCCGCUUAGCAAGACAGCCCGGUAAGGUAGAUAAGCAGUAUGAUUUCUCUUGUGUUUAUUUGAGAAAAUUUCAUUCCGCUUACCGGGACAAUUUUGUUGUUUUGACAUUAUUUUGACAGUUGUUAAAAAUAGCUUGCGGCAGUAUCUUUGAACUUUCAUCCCGGCAACCGGGCUAGCCUGCUUAUGAUUGUUUAUGUGGAGAAAUUUCCAUCCUGGUCUUGGCAACCGGG